CUGGGUGGCUGGCACCCACGAUGCCCCAGGCUUCCAGGCUGCUCUGCCACCUGUCCCAUGUCUUGGGCGAGGGCGGCAGUUCCUUGGCCAGAUCACAAGGCGGAUGCUGAGGCUGAGAUAUUCUCAACCUGAAGGUCAGGUGCUGGGAGUACAGCCAUGGAUGAGACCACACGUGAAGAACCUGAUGUUCUGAGGAGGACGGACUGCAUUUGGCAGGACAUCUGUAGGGUGAAGACCCCAUUCUUGAGUGUCCCUGGCCAGGAUGGGUCACAGUGGAGCAGAGUGAGGGGCCGACAGUAACCCAUCCCUUGCUGACUCGUUCUGUAUGCAAGUUCUUUGUUAGAUGUUUCAAAGCAUGUGAAGCAAAGAGCCAAUUUGCAACAGAAUCGCAAUAACUCUGUAACCCACUGACACCAUUUACAGGUGGUGGUCUUAGGGGCUGUUGUUUUAGGUUUUGUUCUGAACUUACUUCGGGUUUGGGGUCUCAUCUCGGUCACUUUCCAGUAGGUAAGUAUACUGGGCCCAGCCAUAAGCCCCCAGGCCACAGCUCCUGAGUCUGUCCCCUGCUACAAUGACAGGAUGAUGACAACUCCCUCUGAUUCUGGGAACUGGUCCCUCCUGGCCCCUCCAGUCCUGGGGGUGAGAACAGCUCCCCCUGUUGCCAGGCCCUUGGUGCUUCACCAUCUCUCAUCGAUUUCCCUUAACCCAUCUGUACUUCACAAGAAUCUCAAUUAAAUGCUCACCAGGAGCCCACCUGUGUGCCUUCUGCCUCCUUCAGGACCCCGGCUGAUGUGCCCACCACACUGUGCUGGGGUCUCUGCCCAGCAUCUGCAGGGGUACCACCCAGUCCCAGGUUUAAGCGGAAAGACAGCAGCAGGCUACCGCUGCUUCCUUCCCCAAAGUCCAGGGGUCUCCUUCUCUCUGCUUUCUGAGUGUGGGUUCCCAGCCUUGGUGGUCCUGGCCACUGUGCUCCUGAGGAAGGCACCCAGUCCCUGACCAGUUUCCCCACUGGGCCUCAGAUUCGUCAUUUAUAAAUUAGGGGAACCCAAAAUGCCUGCUGCAAGCAGGGUCAUGAGAGUGAGAUGAGGCAAUGAAUGUGGGUGGGCACACAGUAGGUGCCUAAUAAAUGCUGGCAGACCUGGAUUAAAUGAAAGGUGACUGCUCACGUUUUCUGCACGACUUCCCAAAUCCUUCUCCUCAAGAAAGAGGUGAAAUAGUUUCUGCCGAUGCCCAAGAAAGCCAACCCUGCCUCCGUAGUGUUAGAACCCAAACCACAUCCUGAAAAGGGUCCCCCUGGUACAGCCUCCAGGAGGCCCUCCUGGUAUUCACACUGUUGUGUAGUUUCCUCCCACACUGAGUAGCCGACAGUACCUUGCAGAAAUGAUGUGUGUGACUUCUGAGGCUGUCACAAAAUAUCACAGCUUCUUCCUUGCUCUCCCUUGGAGAGCUUGCCACCGUGUUGUUCGGGGAGAAGCCAGCUGCCAUGGUGUGAGGACACUCAGCAGCCACGAGGAGGCCCACGUGGAGAGGCGUGAGGUCUCCAGCCAACGGCCAGGCUCAGCUGUCAAUCAUGUGAGGGGACCACCUUGGAAGUGAAUCCUCCAGUCCCAGUCCAGCCCUCAGAUGACCACAGCCCCACCGGUUGCCUUGACUCCAGCUUCACGAGAGACACUGAACCAGCACCUCUCGUCUGAGCUGCUCCCAGAUUCCUGACCCACAGAAACUGUGUGACGUAAUACAUGUUUAUUGCUGUUUUGA